AAAGCCUGAUCCAGCCAUGCCGCGUGUGUGAAGAAGGUCUUCGGAUUGUAAAGCACUUUAAGUUGGGAGGAAGGGCAGUUACCUAAUACGUGAUUGUCUUGACGUUACCGACAGAAUAAGCACCGGCUAACUCUGUGCCAGCAGCCGCGGUAAUACAGAGGGUGCAAGCGUUAAUCGGAAUUACUGGGCGUAAAGCGCGCGUAGGUGGUUUGUUAAGUUGAAUGUGAAAUCCCCGGGCUCAACCUGGGAACUGCAUCCAAAACUGGCAAGCUAGAGUAUGGUAGAGGGUAGUGGAAUUUCCUGUGUAGCGGUGAAAUGCGUAGAUAU
rnacentral:rRNA from 1 species